rfam:Papillibacter cinnamivorans DSM 12816 genome assembly, contig: EJ70DRAFT_scaffold00008.8
GUUGGUGCUGAUUGCGGCGAGGGUCCACCCGUUCCCAUUCCGAACACGGAAGUUAAGCUCGCCCGCGCUCAAAAUACUUGGCUGGAAACGGCCCGGGAAAAUAGGUAGUGCCAACA